ensembl:misc_RNA Metazoa_SRP Metazoan signal recognition particle RNA
GCUGGGCAUGGUGGGGGUGCCUGUAAUCCCAGCUACUCGGGAGGCUGAGGCAGGAGAAUCGCUUGAACCCAGGAGGCAGAGGCUGCAGUGUGCCGCGAUGGUGCCACUGCACUCCAGCCUGGGUGAUAGAGUAAGACUCUGCCUCAA